UGGAGCUGUAAGUUUGCAUCUUUUGAAGUUUUAUACAUCGUCACUCGUUUUAGUAAAGUUGCUAGACAUACCUUGAAAAAAUGUAAUCAUCCUUUAUUAAUUUUACCGGAUUAAGAAUCAUAAAUAGUCUGUAAAAUGUCAGAAGAUUCCAUUUACAGCAGUUUAACAGCAGCUAGCUAGCUAGCUAGCAAGGGUGGCUGACAUGGGCAAAUGAGCUGCAAAGUCCAUAACUAGCUGGUAUCAGUGGCCUUCAUGUAAAUAUCCCCCGGUGACGUGGGCUCAGAACAAAGAAGAAGUGUAUCAGCUGCAGUCGACUCCCCUGAGACACUGCGCGUCAAGACACCUGUGGACGUACACCUCCGACUAUCAGGU